AGAUGCACCAUGGGCUGCAUCACAGUCUCUCGCUGUGGGUAACUCUGUCAGCUAGAAAAAUACCACAGGACAGGUCCUGGGGUUGCAAUGCAAACCAGUGUCCAUCUGUAUCCAGCUCACAUCAAAGCAGGCACUGUGAGAAGAGAUCUCCAAAAGAUGUUGGGGGAAGCGCAAUGGACCAUGGCGUGUCCUCGUGUCCCUGCCCUCCUGCUGCUGGUGGUGGUUGGUACUCUCCAGGCUCCACUCCUGUACCUUUACACUUCCAGAGCUCAGGAAGGGGAAGUCGUCCUGGCUCAAUGUGUCCUUCAGAAGAUGGUUCCUGCUGCCCGGAUUGUCUUCUGCAAGGAUGGGAUGGAGGUUUACAGCAUGAAAGCCCAUCAGCAUACGGUCAUCUACUCCAUGCUGAUGAACAUCUCUGCAAGAAGCAGUGGGACAUACACGUGUGUGUACCAGCAGAGGAACGAGAGCAAUUGGCUAAGGAGAUCUCCCCUCAGCACUCCCUUGGACCUACAUGUCACAGGCCAUGUGUCCAGAUCCAUGGAAGAGACAGCACAUGCCGACUCAUACACCCCGUUGGGCCCCAUAGUCAUCGCUGUGGCACCAGUGGCUGUCACCCUGCUCCUGUCUGCAGCCUCCUGCUGGAUCAUCAAGAAAGAUGCUUGUGGGAAGAGAUGCUGUAGUGCUGAGGGAGCUCCUGCCGACCACGAUUUGUACUGUAAGUUUCAGUCCCUUGCACCCUUCCUUUCUAGGCACUGAGUACAAUGCAGAGAUGAUCCCAAAUGCUGUAUUUUAAGUCAGUAUUAUCUGCACGUGCUCAUGACAAUCAAUGCUUAUAAAGUUAAUUUUUCCGGAUAUAGUCCCAAUACUAUUCCGGCAUCAUCUCUCUAAACCUCCUUGACAAAUAUGGUCUCAUUCUCUUCACCCUGCUAUACAGUCUCCACUCCUGUAGCUGACACUGCUGGGAAUUAAGAAAUGCUUCACUUUCAAACUCUGCACUGAGCGGACAGUGUUUCAGAGGAAAUGUGUCUGUUGAGAGCACUUUUUUGGGUGAGGACCAUUCUCAGCAACAGAGCAGCCUCCACCCAAUAUCGUGGAGAAGCAAAACCCGCCUCCCUACAGCACAGGGCAUUUUCUUGGGGCUGCAAGGCAGACCUCAGGAGCUGCUGUAUGAAGCUGUAAGGGUGAUGAUUUUGGCAGAGGAUGCCCACGGGUGCAUCUGUGUUGGUGGCUGGGGAAGGUCUCUCCCCUGCUGAUGGCUGGGCACUCAUUCAGGAUCUCCCUGCAGAUGCCAACGUGGAUGAAAUGAGGAGAGUGAAGGCACCUGUAAGAAAAACAGUCUCACAUCAAAGCUGUGGCAGCCUCAUGGAUCCCCCACAGUCCCCUCAAGUCCUCACCUUUCCUGAUGGUCCAGAAGGUGGCUGCAGACAGCAGGAGGUUGACAGGAAAAAGAGAAAGCAAAGAUCCGGUAAAGCCCCUUCACUACUCAUGAAAACCAGUCUUAGUUGAUCUGCCACCAACACGACAUGUACUUCCCAUUCUCAAAGCACCACUGAAUUUUUGUACGUGGGAAGGUUCCAACGCCCACAGGUAAGAACAUCGUAUUCAGACUCAGUGGAUAAUCCCAUCCUUGUCAUCUUUGGAUUCUCUGUAUCUACGUAUACAGGUUAUGAGAAGAGGCAAUGCAAGACCCUUGUUAACCAUGACGGUAUUAAUGCUUGCGUGCACUUCUUGUUUGCUCACAUUUGUGAUUGCCAUGUGUUACAUUACAAAAUAUAUUAGCCAUGGGCAUGGUGUUACUGAAAUAAGAAGGACUGUGCAAUGUAGAAUCAAAGAUCGAAGAGGGAGAGACUGCUGCAUCAGCAUCCACAAUGCCAUCAUCUAAUCUGAAGAAGCUCAAACAAAGCGGAGACAGUGAAUGGACUGCUGAACUGUUUCAUGUACUGUUUUGAGGCAUGGAAUCCAAAUCCAUGCUGAGAUUGUGGAGACUCGUGGGAUGGGGGAAACUGUUGGUGUGAAUGGCAGUAGCUGUGAGCACCCACCUGGUUGUCUGCUCUUAAUGAGCACAUAACCUGGUGUUCUAUUCUUAAUGAGCACCCGCCUGGCAUUCUAAUCUUCAUGAGUUUUCCAGGUCAUGGAAUUGUAACACUGAGGCCUAGCGUGGUGUAGACACCUAGGCA